CCUACGGGAGGCAGCAGUGAGGAAUAUUGGUCAAUGGGCGGGAGCCUGAACCAGCCAAGUCGCGUGAGGGACGACGGUCCUAUGGAUUGUAAACCUCUUUUGUCGGGGAACAAAGGCGCCCACGGAUGGGCGGAUGAGUGUACCCGAAGAAAAGCAUCGGCUAACUACGUGCCAGCAGCCGCGGUAAUACGGAGGAUGCGAGCGUUAUCCGGAGUUAUUGGGUUCAAAGGGUGCGUAGGCGGACAGGCAAGUCAAAGGUAAAAAGGAGGUGAUGAACGGCGAUCAGCGGUUGAAACUUGUAGUCUUGAGUGAGCUAGAAGUAUGCGGAAUGCGUGGUGUAGCGGUGAAAUGCAUAGAUAUAACGCAGAACUCCGAUAGCGAAGGCAGCAUACCGGCGCCCUACUGACGCUGAGGCACGAGAGCGUGGGUAGCGAACAGGAUUAGAUACCCGGGUAGUC
rnacentral:rRNA from 1 species